AAGCCACUGUUUACAAUCGGGUUGUUGAUAAACAACGCCCGGUCUCCUGAACAAAGUAAAGAAUUGCUGUGUGUAGUCUUUGCCCAUCCCAUGUGAUGGGCUUUUUUUUGC
rnacentral:other from 1 species